rnacentral:rRNA from 1 species
UACGAAGGGGGCUAGCGUUGUUCGGAAUUACUGGGCGUAAAGCGCACGUAGGCGGAUUGUUAAGUUAGGGGUGAAAUCCCAGGGCUCAACCCUGGAACUGCCUUUAAUACUGGCAAUCUCGAGUCCGAGAGAGGUGAGUGGAAUUCCGAGCGUAGAGGUGAAAUUCGUAGAUAUUCGGAGGAACACCAGUGGCGAAGGCGGCUCACUGGCUCGGUACUGACGCUGAGGUGCGAAAGCGUGGGUAGCGAACGGG